rnacentral:snRNA from 1 species
ACUUCUGCAGUACACACUGAAACUGGAACAACACAGAGAAGAUUAGCAUGACCCCUGCACAAGGAUGGCAUACAAAUUUGUGAAGCUGGUGACACAUGC